UACGUAGGGUGCGAGCGUUAAUCGGAAUUACUGGGCGUAAAGCGUGCGCAGGCGGUUCGUCGUGUCCGAUGUGAAAGCCCCGGGCUCAACCUGGGAAUGGCAUUGGAAACUGGCGGACUCGAGUGUGGCAGAGGGGGGGUGGAAUUCCGCGUGUAGCAGUGAAAUGCGUAGAGAUGCGGAGGAACACCGAUGGCGAAGGCAGCCCCC
rnacentral:rRNA from 1 species